rnacentral:rRNA from 1 species
UAGUGAAUCUUCCGCAAUGGACGCAAGUCUGACGGAGCAACGCCGCGUGAGUGAAGAAGGAUUUCGGUUCGUAAAACUCUGUUGUUAGAGAAGAACAGCGCAUAGAGUAACUGUUAUGCGUGUGACGGUAUCUAACCAGAAAGCCACGGCUAACUACGUGCCAGCAGCCGCGGUAAUACGUAGGUGGCAAGCGUUGUCCGGAUUUAUUGGGCGUAAAGCGAGCGCAGGCGGUCAAUUAAGUCUGAUGUGAAAGCCCCCGGCUCAACCGGGGGGGGUCAUUGGAAACUGGUUGACUUGAGUGCAGAAGGGGAGAGUGGAAUUCCAUGUGUAGCGGUGAAAUGCGUAGAUAUAUGGAGGAACACCGGUGGCGAAAGCGGCUCUCUGGUCUGUAACUGACGCUGAGGCUCGAAAGCGUGGGGAGCGAACAGG